rnacentral:misc_RNA from 1 species
GAAAUGCGAUAAGUAGUGUGAAUUGCAGAAUUCAGUGAAUCAUCGAAUCUUUGAACGCACAUUGCGCCCUUUGGUAUUCCUUAGGGCAUGCCUGUUCGAGCGUCAUCUAAACCCUCAAGCCCUGCUUGGUGUUGGGUGCCUGUCCCGCCCCCGUGCGUGGACUCACCUCAAAUCCAUUGGCGGCCCUCGUGCCGGCCCCGAGCGCAGCAGAAACGCGGUCUCGUGGCCCGGCGGAGCGUGCCCCCAGAAGCAACAUUCACCGUUUUGACCUCGGAUCAGGUAGGGAUACCCGCUGAACUUAAG